CUUUCUUCAACGGAUCUCUUGUUUCCUGCAUCGAUGAAGAACACAGCAAAGUGCUAUACUUAGUGUGGAUUGCAAAUUCAGUGAAUCAUCGAGUCUUUGAACGCACAUUGCGCCCCCUGGUAUUCCGGGGGGCGUGCCUGUCCGAGCGACAUUGCU
rnacentral:rRNA from 1 species